GGACAGCAAAAGAAAUCGGAAAAGGGAGACUCACCUUCACAAGGGCUGUCAGGAGCUGCCGGAACAUUCUGAGAGAGAGGGGCCCCGGGGUGGGGGAGACACACAGGGAGGCUGAGUCUGCCCAAGAU